CACGUAUUUAGCCGGGGCUUCUUAGUCAGGUACCGUCAUUUUCUUCCCUGCUGAUAGAGCUUUACAUACCGAGGUACUUCUUCGCUCACGCGGCGUCGCUGCAUCAGGGUUCCCCCCAUUGUGCAAUAUCCCCCACUGCUGCCUCCCGUAGGAGUCUGGGCCGUGUCUCAGUCCCAAUGUGGCCGUCCACCCUCUCAGGCCGGCUACUGAUCGUCGCCUUGGUGGGCCGUUGCCCCGCCAACCAGCUAAUCAGACGCGGGCCCAUCCCGCACCACCGGAGUUUUCCACACUGCUUCAUGCAAAGCUGUGCGCAUAUGCGGUAUUAGCAGCCGUUUCCGGCUGUUGUCCCCCAGUGCGGGGCAGGUUGCCCACGCGUUACUCACCCGUCCGCCACUCAGUCAUAUGCCCUUCCCCCCGGAGGGUUCCAGGCAUGCGCUUCGUUCGACUUGCAUGUGUUAGGCACGCCGCCAGCGUUCAUCCUGAGCCAGGAUCAAA
rnacentral:rRNA from 1 species